AAACCUUUGCAUGGGGUUGGGCCUUUCGUUUCUGUUAAUGCAAGUGUGCUGUGCGCUCUGUUCUCUCUGAAAUCUCUUCUGUGUGGAAGAGAUUUUAGGGUUUUUUUUCAUGUAUUUUGAUGUUGUCUGAGGCAGGCUGUGGAGAUGCAGGGUGGAAAUGCUUGCCAAGUUGGUGUUUGGGCUGACUAACAGCAUUAGAGUAGAGCAACUCUCUUGGUGAUAGCCCAUAUAUCUCCCUUAGGCACAGAGUAAAGGCAAAGAAGCCAUUUGCUAGCUGGCUCCCCCACCCUUUUUCCCAUUGUCCUUUCCUUUGUGACAGCGAGACAGUCAGAGUUUCUGUACUCCGUGCUCCAGCCACUGCAGGUCUGGGAGCUGCCUGCCCAGCUUGGAAAUUCCAGUCUCUCACCGAGACCUCUCCCCUAGCUAGUGAUGAGCUGCAAGAACUGUGCAGACUGAUUGAUCUGAAAGAGAGGACUGGAAAACAAAAUAAAAAACAAUUCAGAUAAUUGUUAUGGCUUCUCCAUUAACCACUGAGACUUACUCAUGUAGCACUGGGCAUGUCUGUCAAUGCUCCAC